GAUGAACGCUAGCUACAGGCUUAACACAUGCAAGUCGAGGGGCAGCGCAGUGUAGCAAUACAUGGGCGGCGACCGGCGCACGGGUGCGUAACGCGUAUCCAACCUUCCCGUUACUCAGGGAUAGCCUUCCGAAAGGGAGAUUAAUACCUGAUGGUGUUGAAAUUCCGCAUGUUAUUUCAACUAAAGAUUUAUCGGUAACGGAUGGGGAUGCGUGACAUUAGAUAGUAGGCGGGGUAACGGCCCACCUAGUCUACGAUGUCUAGGGGUUCUGAGAGGAAGGUCCCCCACACUGGAACUGAGACACGGUCCAG
rnacentral:rRNA from 1 species